GCAGCAUUUGGAAGCAAUCCGGAGAAGGACUUGGAUCUAUGCAUUGUUUCACAGUUUGUGUCCAAUUGCUUCAAGUAUUCACUCUGGAUUUGAACUGGUUCGUAUUCCUUGACAAUUUGCUUUGAAGACUGUCAGAUGAGGACAGCCAAAGCGUAUGUGACUGAGGCAAGAGCAACCCACUUCCCCCGGAUUCCCCACCCAAGCCUUCCUUGGGGCCAGGAGGGCAUCUGCUGCCCGUCUGCAGGGAUGUGCGAACGGGCAGAGAGAGGCUCUGCGCUCACACCCCGUCUCCUGUCUCUUAGUCCUUGGACCUGUCACGUAGCUAGAAGGAUGCCAAGGACUUUAUGGAGUCUGUCAAGCGCUCAGUACUUCUGUCUUUAGUGGCAUCCUCAUAGACAAACUUCGCAGGUGUUAAAAAAAAACCAAACCAAAACC